rnacentral:rRNA from 1 species
GAUGAACACUGGCGGCGUGCCUAACACAUGCAAGUCGAACGGAAUUUACAUGAAGCCUAGCGAUUGUAAAUUUAGUGGCGGACGGGUGAGUAACGCGUGGGUAACCUGCCUUGUACUGGGGGACAACAGUUGGAAACGACUGCUAAUACCGCAUAAGCGCACAGCUUCGCAUGAAGCAGUGUGAAAAACUCCGGUGGUACAAGAUGGACCCGCGUCUGAUUAGCUGGUUGGUGAGGUAACGGCCCACCAAGGCGACGAUCAGUAGCCGGCCUGAGAGGGUGAACGGCCACAUUGGGACUGAGACACGGCCCAAACUCCUACGGGAGGCAGCAGUGGGGAAUAUUGCACAAUGGGGGAAACCCUGAUGCAGCAACGCCGCGUGAGUGAAGAAGUAUUUCGGUAUGUAAAGCUCUAUCAGCAGGAAAGAAAAUGACGGUACCUGACUAAGAAGCCCCGGCUAACUACGUGCCAGCAGCCGCGGUAAUACGUAGGGGGCAAGCGUUAUCCGGAUUUACUGGGUGUAAAGGGAGCGUAGACGGUUUUGCAAGUCUGAAGUGAAAGCCCGGGGCUUAACCCCGGGACUGCUUUGGAAACUGUAGGACUAGAGUGCAGGAGAGGUAAGUGGAAUUCCUAGUGUAGCGGUGAAAU